AUUGAACGCUGGCGGCAGGCCUAACACAUGCAAGUCGAACGGUAACAGGAAGCAGCUUGCUGCUUCGCUGACGAGUGGCGGACGGGUGAGUAAUGCCUGGGAAACUGCCUGAUGGAGGGGGAUAACUACUGGAAACGGUAGCUAAUACCGCAUAACGUCGCAAGACCAAAGAGGGGGACCUUCGGGCCUCUUGCCAUCGGGUGUGCCCAGAUGGGAUUAGCUAGUAGGUGGGGUAACGGCUCACCUAGGCGACGAUCCCUAGCUGGUCUGAGGGGAUGACCAGCCACACUGGAACUGAGACACGGUCCAGACUCCUACGGGAGGCAGCAGUGGGGAAUAUUGCACAAUGGGCGCAAGCCUGAUGCAGCCAUGCCGCGUGUAUGAAGAAGGCCUUCGGGUUGUAAAGUACUUUCAGCGGGGAGGAAGGGAGUAAAGUUAAUACCUUUGCUCAUUGACGUUACCCGCAGAAGAAGCACCGGCUAACUCCGUGCCAGCAGCCGCCGUAA
rnacentral:rRNA from 1 species